UACGAAGGGGGCUAGCGUUGCUCGGAAUCACCGGGCGUAAAGCGCACGUAGGCGGCUUUCUAAGUCAGGGGUGAAAUCCUGGAGCUCAACUCCAGAACUGCCUUUGAUACUGGAGAGCUUGAGUCCGGGAGAGGUGAGUGGAACUCCGAGUGUAGAGGUGAAAUUCGUAGAUAUUCGGAAGAACACCAGUGGCGAAGGCGGCUCACUGGCCCGGUACUGACGCUGAUGUGCGAAAGCGUGGGGAGCAAACAGG
rnacentral:rRNA from 1 species